rnacentral:lncRNA from 1 species
GUGGGAUCCAAGCCAAAUAGCUCUUGAAGUUGUCCAUAAAGCUCAGAACGGUUGUACACAUGAAAUUCAAAGUCGUUCACCAUAAUAUACAGUCUUGUUUCUGCCUUUGGAUCAUGCUGCUUCUGUUUAGGGUUGUACAUUUUCCACCAGCGAAAUAUGAUAAAUCCAUCUUGGAUUCUGAUAGACAUGUCUUCUGUGAUGAAAUAGAUUUCGCGAACCAUGACUUUUCCAGACAGCACAGAGAACGAAAAGGAACCAAUAUGGAUGUAGCCAUGUUUAUAUAGUCUGUUAAGAACCAGUGUUAAAAUUAGUCCAAUGUUCCGGGAAUUAUAAUAAGUUAGGUAGAUAAUCCAUCCACAAGACAAUAUUGUCGCUACUAACAGCCAAACAACGUUGGAGUCAUGUUCUGUUAAGAAGUCUUCCAACUGCGUGAUACUUGGGACAAAGCUAUCAUUUUUUCUUUGAUCCAUUGCUAAAUUGUUUUUGUACCAGCACCUAUAGAAGCCAUCGCCCUCCGCGGCGGCUCCACUA